GCAAUGGUGGUUCAGCGGUAGAGUUCUCAACUUCCAUCUGGGAGACUUGGGUUCGAUUCCUGGCCAAUGGA
rnacentral:tRNA from 1 species